AUUGAACGCUGGCGGCAUGCUUUACACAUGCAAGUCGAACGGCAGCACGGGGGGGUAACCCUCUGGUGGCGAGUGGCGAACGGGUGAGUAAUGCAUCGGAACGUACCGUGUAGAGGGGGAUAACUAUCCGAAAGGAUGGCUAAUACCGCAUGAGCCCUGAGGGGGAAAGCUGUGGACCGGAGACGGCCGGGCGCUAUACGAUCGGACGAUGUCCGAUUAGCUAGUUGGUGAGGUAAAGGCUCACCAAGGCGACGAUCGGUAGCGGGUCUGCGAGGACGAUCAGCCACAAUGGAACGGAGACACGGUCCAGACUCAGACGGGAGGCGGAAGUGGGGAAUUUUGGAUAGUGGGCGCAAGACUGAGCCAGCAAGGCCGCGUGAGUGAAGAAGGCCCUUGGGUUGUAAAGCUCUUUCGGUCGGGAAGAAGGAGGAGUGGUUAAGAGCUACUCUGACGGACGGUACCGGCAUAAGAAGCACCGGCUAACUACGUGCCAGCCGCCGCCGUAA
rnacentral:rRNA from 1 species